AUUGAACGCUGGCGGCAGGCCUAACACAUGCAAGUCGAGCGGGGUUUUCGGACCUAGCGGCGGACGGGUGAGUAAUGCGUAGGAAGCUACCCGAUAGAGGGGGAUACCAGUUGGAAACGACUGUUAAUACCGCAUAAUGUCUACGGACCAAAGUGUGGGACCUUCGGGCCACAUGCUAUCGGAUGCGCCUACGUGGGAGUAGCUAGUUGGUGAGGUAAUGGCUCACCAAGGCGACGAUCCCGAGCUGGUUUGAGAGGAUGAUCAGCCACACUGGAACGGAGACACGGUCCAGACUCCUACGGGAGGCAGCAGUGGGGAAUAUUGGACAAUGGGCGCAAGCCUGAUCCAGCCAUGCCGCGUGUGUGAAGAAGGCCUUCGGGUUGUAAAGCACUUUCAGUAGGGAGGAAGGGUGUUGUGUUAAUAGCACAGCAUUUUGACGUUACCUACAGAAGAAGCACCGGCUAACUCUGUGCCAGCCGCCGCGGUAAAAC
rnacentral:rRNA from 1 species